rnacentral:tRNA from 1 species
UACGGACUUAAAUCCGUUGGCUUUAUUGACCGUGAGGGUUCAAGUCCCUCUACCCCCAA